rnacentral:rRNA from 1 species
GAUGAACGCUGGCGGCGUGCCUAAUACAUGCCAGUCGAGCGAACGGACGAGAAGCUUGCUUCUCUGAUGUUAGCGGCGGACGGGUGAGUAACACGUGGAUAACCUACCUAUAAGACUGGGAUAACUUCGGGAAACCGGAGCUAAUACCGGAUAAUAUUUUGAACCGCAUGGUUCAAAAGUGAAAGACGGUCUUGCUGUAACUUAUAGAUGGAUCCCCGCUGCAUUAGCUAGUUGGUAAGGUAACGGCUUACCAAGGCAACGAUGCAUAGCCGACCGAGGAGGGGGUUCGGCCACACUGGAACGGGAAAACGGUCCAGACUCCUACGGGAGGCAGCAGUAGGGAAUCUUCGGCAAUGGGCGAAAGCCUGACGGAGCAACGCCGCGUGAGUGAUGAAGGUCUUCGGAUCGUAAAACUCUGUUAUUAGGGAAGAACAUAUGUGUAAGUAAAUGUGCACAUCUUGACGGUACCUAAUCAGAAAGCCACGGCUAACUACGUG